GCCUGCCCUCUGGCCUUCUCAGGGAGUGCAGUACUGAUUAAAGAGAAGGCCAGCAGGUUCUCUUCUUAUUUAUCCCUAUGGUCAACAGAUCAGACAAUCAGGAUACUGGGACUGAGCAGUGUCUUCACUUGGAAAAGCUUCUCACUCGUGCCAGAAAGACAUUUCUAAGAUUGCCAAGGAGGAACUGUGCCAGCCGGCUGCUUCUAUGCACUUGUGUGAGCCUUGAUGGGUGAGCCUUGAUGGGUGAGUCUUG
rnacentral:lncRNA from 1 species